rnacentral:lncRNA from 1 species
GUCCUCGUCGUCCUCGCAAAUGCGGACUCAGAGCAAAGCAGCUCCCUUUGGCACGGGGAGGAGCGCCGCUAACUCGACCACGCUCGCUCCCGUGAGGCGGCUCGCUUGCCGGCGAUCUCCGACGGACGGCUCGCUAGGAGACGCCUGCAGUUCCCGUUCUGGCAGCGGCUCGGUGCAAGCGCAGGCCCAAGGGAGAUGUCAGCUGCGGAGACGUGCCCUUCCUCCACAGCACGGGAAAGCAAGUCGGGGAGAAGAGCUGGAGGCAGCUGAACCUAUAUGAGAAAAUGGAACUGAGAGACCCUGCGAAGGAGGAGAUCCCUGAGAAAAAGCGCAACACCAGCCAGAAGCUCAGCCUCGGAUACCUGCACAUGGCCGUCAGACAGAAGACGGGCAUGAAGACGAGAGCAGGGUCAGACCCUAAACAACAGCAAGGCCACCUUGGCUAUGGAGCAGACAGUGGACCUGAAAUUGCAACAAGAAACAGGCUGCUCUUCAUUAACAUCCGUCGUUGCCGUCAUCCUCCCUACGGCUUCUCCUGUAAGAAGAUGUGGAAGAAGAGAAACUGAGCACAAAGCUGCCAC